UCGCCCGCCGGACUCGGAAUGCCGCGAGACUUUUUGAGGGGACUCCGUGUGCCAAAAAUAGGCCGCGGGCAAAUCCGCGCCCAAAAAUAACCGCCCGAAGGCCGGGGCGCCAAGUUCGUCCUGCGGAAAACGGCCACAAAAACGGGUGGGCUAUAGCCUUGGGGGGUGGGGCUGGCCAACUUCGUCCGCCGGACUCGGAAUGCCGCGAGACUUUGCAAGGGGCCUCCGUGUCCCAAAAAUAGGCCGCGGGCAAAGCCGCGCCCAAAAUUAACUGCCCGAAGACCGGGGCGCCAAGUUCGUCCAGCGGAAAAAGGCCACAAAAACGGGUGGGCUAUAGCCUUGGGGGGUGGGGCUGGCCAACUUCGUCCGCCGGACUCGGAAUGCCGCGAGACUUUGUGAGGGGCCUCCGUGAGCCAAAAAUAGGC
rnacentral:lncRNA from 1 species